AGUAAAUUGGGCAGUCGCGGAGCGUGCAACACCGCUCUGAGGAAAGUCCGAGCUUCAAACAGCAGGAUAACGGCUAACGGCCGCCGAGGGUGACCUUAGGGAAAGUGCAACAGAAAUAAACCGCCGCUUUUUGCGGUAAGGAUGGAAAGGCGAGGUAAGAGCUCACCGGCGUGCAGGAGACUGCACGGCCAUGUAAACCCUAUCCGAAGCAACACCGACCGAAUGCAAUUUUUUGCGCGUCAGCUGGGCGUAUAUUCAACGGGUGGCUUGAGCGUGCAGGCAACUGUACGUCGAGAAAGAUGAUUGCCUUAAAAGACAGAACUCGGCUUACAGAUUUACUCA
rnacentral:RNase_P_RNA from 1 species